CGGGUGCGUAACACGUGUGCACCUGCCCUGAAGAGGGGGAUAGCCCCGGGAAACUGGGAUUAGUAGCGCAUGUGGUUUCUGCUCUCAUGACUGGAAUACUAAAGCUUGUAAUGGCGCUUAAGGAGGGGCUUGCGGCCUAUCAGCUUGUUGGUGAGGUAACGGCUCACCAAGGCACAGACGGGUAGCUGGUCUGAGAGGACGACCAGCCACACUGGAACUGAGACACGGUCCAGACACCUACGGGUGGCAGCAGUUUCGAAUCAUUCACAAUGGGCGCAAGCCUGAGGGUGCAAUGCCGCGUGGGGGAUGACGGUCUUCGGAUUGUAAACCCCUGUCAUCAAGGACUAAACCGACGUGAAGAGCGUCGCUGAAUUAACUUGAAGAGGAAGAGGUGGCUAACUCCGUGCCAGCAGCCGCGGUAAUACGGAGACCUCGAGCGUUACUCGGAUUUACUGGGCGUAAAGGGAGCGCAGGCGGCAAUGUAUGUCAGGUGUGAAAUCCCGGGGCUUAACUCCGGAACUGCGCCUGAAACUACCUAACUAGAGACUCGGAGGGGUAAGCGGAAUUCCAGGUGUAGCGGUGAAAUGCGUAGAUAUCUGGAAGAACACCAAUGGCGAAGGCAGCUUACUGGACGAGAUCUGACGCUCAUGCACGAAAGCGUGGGGAGCGAAAGGGAUUAGAUACCCCUGUAGUCCACGCCGUAAACUUUGUACACUAGGUAUUGGCAGAUUCGACCCUGUCAGUGCUCAAGCUAACGUGAUAAGUGUACCGCCUGAGGACUACGACCGCAAGGUUAAAACUCAAAGGAAUUGACGGGGGCUCGCACAAGCGGUGGAGCAUGUGGCUUAAUUCGAUGCAACGCGAAGAACCUUACCUGGGCUUGACAUGCACCUGCUACCCGGUGAAAGCCGGGGUUCCUUCGGGACGGGUGCACAGGUGCUGCAUGGCUGUCGUCAGCUCGUGUCGUGAGAUGUUCGGUUAAGUCCGGCAACGAGCGCAACCCUCGUUCAUAGUUGCCAGCAUUCAGUUGGGGACUCUAUGGAGACAAUCCUGCUUUGCAGGGGGGAAGGUGGGGAUGACGUCAAGUCAGUAUGGCCCUUACGUCCAGGGCUGCACACGUGCUACAAUGCCCGGUACAAUGAGACGCAAAACCGUGAGGUGGAGCAAAUCUAUAAAACCGGGCACAGUUCGGAUUGGAGUCUGCAACUCGACUCCAUGAAGCCGGAAUCGCUAGUAAAGGCGUAUCAGCAAC
rnacentral:rRNA from 1 species